AUGCUAGAGUCAACACGAGGUCAGAAGUUUUGCGAGAAGGAAACUAUCCAGACGUUGGCAACAUUAUUUGAUAGCUGGCCUGGGAUGGACAACGACAUCUCAUCGUGCAACAAGGUAAGUAAAGUAUUUUGUCCAUUGUUAUCAUGGUUUAUUGUUGUUUCUAAUAGCUCCACUUGUAGAUUUAUCUUCCCUAUGCAUCCAUCGGCCGAUACAUCUUGUACGUCAUCGAGAAAGAGGAAUGUGUCUGGCUAUUUUGUUUUUCAUUUUAUGCUCUGGUGGAACGGUAAAGAAUUGGUCAAGCCGAUUUGCACGGAUGGGUAUGAAUUGAGGAAGCAGUUUUUAUUACACUUGCUAAAACAUUGUGGGAAUGAAGCUAAAGGAAACUUUUCUGAUAUUGUGAAAGAAUUACUUAAGCGCAUCAUCUAG
rnacentral:rRNA from 1 species